UACGGGGGGGGUAAGCGUUGUUCGGAAUUACUGGGCGUAAAGCGUACGCAGGCGGCUUUGCAAGACAGGUGUGAAAUCCCCGGGCUCAACCUGGGAACUGCAUUUGUGACUGCACGGCUGGAGUGCGGCAGAGGGGGAUGGAAUUCCGCGUGUAGCAGUGAAAUGCGUAGAUAUGCGGAGGAACACCGAUGGCGAAGGCAAUCCCCUGGGCCUGCACUGACGCUCAUGCACGAAAGCGUGGGGAGCAAACAGG
rnacentral:rRNA from 1 species